rnacentral:rRNA from 1 species
AGAGUUUGAUCCUGGCUCAGAACGAACGCUGGCGGCGUGCCUAAGACAUGCAAGUCGAACGGUAAGGCACCUUCGGGUGCACACGAGUGGCGCACGGGUGAGUAACGCGUGGGUAAUCUGCCCUCAGGUCGGGGACAACUUCGGGAAACUGGAGCUAAUACCGGAUGAGACCACGAAGCCUCUGGGCUUCGCGGAAAAAGGUGGCCUCUCCUUGGAAGCUACCGCCAGGGAUGAGCCCGCGUCCCAUUAGCUUGUUGGUGAGGUAACAGCUCACCAAGGCAACGAUGGGUAGCUGGUCUGAGAGGAUGAUCAGCCACACUGGAACUGAGACACGGUCCAGACUCCUACGGGAGGCAGCAGUCGGGAAUUUUGGGCAAUGGGCGAAAGCCUGACCCAGCAACGCCGCGUGAGGGAUGAAGGCCCUUCGGGUCGUAAACCUCUGUCGGGAGGGAAGAACGUUUUCCGGGCGAAUAAUCCGGUGGGCUGACGGUACCUCCAAAGGAAGCGCCGGCUAACUCCGUGCCAGCAGCCGCGGUAAUACGGAGGGCGCAAGCGUUGUUCGGAAUCAUUGGGCGUAAAGCGCGUGUAGGCGGCUUGGCAAGUCGGGUGUGAAAGCCCGGGGCCCAACCCCGGAACUGCAUUCGAAACUGCCUCGCUAGAGUCCCGGAGAGGAGAGCGGAAUUCCCGGUGUAGAGGUGAAAUUCGUAGAUAUCGGGAGGAACACCAGCGGCGAAGGCGGCUCUCUGGACGGUGACUGACGCUGAGACGCGAAAGCGUGGGGAGCAAACAGGAUUAGAUACCCUGGUAGUCCACGCCGUAAACGUUGGGUGCUAGGUGUCGCGGGUAUUCUUGUCCCUUUAGUGGCGCAGCUAACGCACUAAGUUGACCGCCUGGGGAGUACGGCCGCAAGGUUAAAACUCAAAUGAAUUGACGGGGGCCCGCACAAGCGGUGGAGCAUGUGGUUUAAUUCGAUGCAACGCGAAGAACCUUACCAGGUCUUGACAUCCCGAGAAUUUACUAGAGAUAGUUAGUGCCUUCGGGAACUCGGUGACAGGUGCUGCAUGGCUGUCGUCAGCUCGUGUCGUGAGAUGUUGGGUUAAGUCCCGUAACGAGCGCAACCCUUGUCCUUAGUUGCCAGCACGUAAUGGUGGGAACUCUAAGGAGACUGCCGGUGACAAACCGGAGGAAGGUGGGGACGACGUCAAGUCAUCAUGGCCCUUACGACCUGGGCUACACACGUGCUACAAUGGUCGGUACAGAGGGUUGCCAAGCCGCGAGGUGGAGCUAAUCCCAGAAAACCGAUCGUAGUCCGGAUUGGAGUCUGCAACUCGAAUCAAUGAAGUCGGAAUCGCUAGUAAUCGCGAAUCAGAAUGUCGAGGUGAAUAAGUUACCGGGACUUGUAAACACCGACCGUCACACCAUGGGAGUGGGUUGCAAAAGAAGUGGGCGACCUCCCCCGCAAAGGAGGCAGGUCCCCAAGGAGUGUUUGGUAACUGGGGUGAAGUCGUAACAAGGUAACC